rnacentral:rRNA from 1 species
AGAGUUUGAUCCUGGCUCAGGAUGAACGCUAGCGACAGGCUUAACACAUGCAAGUCGAGGGGCAGCAUAAAAGUAGCAAUACUUUGGUGGCGACCGGCGCACGGGUGAGUAACGCGUAUGCAACCUACCUAUCAGAGGGGAAUAACCCGGCGAAAGUCGGACUAAUACCGCAUAAAACAGGGGCACCGCAUGGUGAUAUUUGUUAAAGAAAUUCGCUGAUAGAUGGGCAUGCGUUCCAUUAGGUAGUUGGUGAGGUAACGGCUCACCAAGCCGACGAUGGAUAGGGGAACUGAGAGGUUGGUCCCCCACACUGGUACUGAGACACGGACCAGACUCCUACGGGAGGCAGCAGUGAGGAAUAUUGGUCAAUGGGCGGGAGCCUGAACCAGCCAAGUCGCGUGAAGGAAGAAGGAUCUAUGGUUCGUAAACUUCUUUUGCAGGGGAAUAAAGUGCAGGACGUGUCCUGUUUUGUAUGUACCCUGAGAAUAAGGAUCGGCUAACUCCGUGCCAGCAGCCGCGGUAAUACGGAGGAUCCGAGCGUUAUCCGGAUUUAUUGGGUUUAAAGGGUGCGUAGGUGGUUUGAUAAGUCAGCGGUGAAAGUUUGCAGCUUAACUGUAAAAAUGCCGUUGAAACUGUCGGACUUGAGUGUAAAUGAGGUAGGCGGAAUGCGUGGUGUAGCGGUGAAAUGCAUAGAUAUCACGCAGAACUCCGAUUGCGAAGGCAGCUUACUAAGCUACAACUGACACUGAAGCACGAAAGCGUGGGGAUCAAACAGGAUUAGAUACCCUGGUAGUCCACGCAGUAAACGAUGAUUACUAGCUGUUUGCGAUACACAGUAAGCGGCACAGCGAAAGCGUUAAGUAAUCCACCUGGGGAGUACGCCGGCAACGGUGAAACUCAAAGGAAUUGACGGGGGCCCGCACAAGCGGAGGAACAUGUGGUUUAAUUCGAUGAUACGCGAGGAACCUUACCCGGGCUUGAAAUGUAGACCGCGUCGCGAGAGAUCGCGAUUCCCGCAAGGGGGUCUAUGUAGGUGCUGCAUGGUUGUCGUCAGCUCGUGCCGUGAGGUGUCGGCUUAAGUGCCAUAACGAGCG